UACGUAGGUCCCGAGCGUUGUCCGGAUUUAUUGGGCGUAAAGCGAGCGCAGGUGGUUUAUUAAGUCUGGUGUAAAAGGCAGUGGCUCAACCAUUGUAUGCAUUGGAAACUGGUAGACUUGAGUGCAGGAGAGGAGAGUGGAAUUCCAUGUGUAGCGGUGAAAUGCGUAGAUAUAUGGGGGAACACCGGUGGCGAAAGCGGCUCUCUGGCCUGUAACUGACACAGAGGCUCGAAAGCGUGGGGAGCAAACAGG
rnacentral:rRNA from 1 species